UACGGAGGGUGCAAGCGUUAUCCGGAUUUACUGGGUUUAAAGGGUGCGCAGGCGGAUAUGUAAGUCAGUGGUGAAAUCUCCGGGCUUAACCCGGAAACUGCCGUUGAUACUAUAUAUCUUGAAUGCUGUGGAGGUAAGCAGAAUAUGUCAUGUAGCGGUGAAGUGCUUAGAUAUGACAUAGAAUACCUAUUGCGAAGGCAGCUUACUACGCAGAUAUUGACGCUCAUGCACGAAAGCGUGGGGAUCAAACAGG
rnacentral:rRNA from 1 species